UGCGGCAGUUGUUAAUUUAUCAACACAAAAUGGGAGUAUAGAACUAUGGGUUAGUUUAUUAAGUGGUUGUACUGGUUACAUUUUACCAAACCCUUCUAUAAAUAAAAUAUAAAUGAAAUUCACAUAAAAAGAAGGGAGGAAAAAAAGUAUUCGAGUGACCCUCCUUCUAACCACGUGACCGAAACGUUCACCAUACGUUUCGUUUAUCUCUUAAUGAAUCAUCAUGAACAAUUUAAGCUGCUACCACAACUAUAAAAGCACACAGUUAUAUCAAUGGCACAGGCA
rnacentral:lncRNA from 1 species